GUGUGCACGGAUUUAAAAGUAAUUCGCUGUCGAUUUCUACGAUGAUUUUGCAGCGUUUUCUAAGUGUACAUGGAAUUUCACAGCAUGCAGACGAUUACGGCGAGGCCUUACUCCGUACUGCAUGGAUGAUGAUGUUGAAAAAGUUUCACCAAGAAUGUUCCCAGAGAACAUGCUGUUCUAGCCGCCAUGGGAUGUGUAAUGUGUGAAACCUGUGCUGCAGAAAUUGUAUUUGUGUUUUUGGUAACCGACAGCUGAUUAAACUGACAAGGUCAAGACACAGAUCGGACAAAUUCAGUCCUAACGGACGGAUGCACACACCAAGACAGAACCGCCAUUGUGACAACUAUGCAUCGCCCACCGCAAGCGAGCUUGACCAUUAGCAUACUAGAUCAACAAUGUGAUGUCACAAGAAUAUCACAUAAGUAUUUGAACAACAACCACUGGAUGUUAACAUUCACGUAAUGUCCACAAAGUCAUCUACAAUGUCCAGUGCCUGAACUACCGCCAUGGAGACGUCGCUUUGCAGGAAGGCACCUCUUUUAGUCUGGAAAAAAA